UACGGAGGGGGCGAGCGUUGUCCGGAUUUACUGGGCGUAAAGCGUGCGUAGGUGGUUCGUUAAGUCUGAUGUGAAAGCCCUGGGCUCAACCUGGGAAUGGCAUUGGAAACUGGCGACCUAGAGUGCGGUAGAGGGCAGUGGAAUUCCCGGUGUAGCAGUGAAAUGCGUAGAGAUCGGGAGGAACAUCUGUGGCGAAGGCGACUGCCUGGACCAGCACUGACACUGAGGCACGAAAGCGUGGGGAGCAAACAGG
rnacentral:rRNA from 1 species